GAUGAAGAACGUAGUGAAUUGCGAUAUGUAAUGUGAAUUGCAGAAUUCAGUGAAUCAUCGAAUCUUGAACGCACAUUGCACCCUCUGGUAUUCCGGAGGGUAUGCCUGUUUGAGUGUCAUUAAUCUCUCAACACAGACAAGUUUGUGACUUGCUCUGUGCUGGAUGCUGAAGGCUGCCGGCAGAUAUGCUAGCUCCUUUUAAAUGCAUUAGCAGAAACUUAUGCAAAAGCUGGCUUCAGUUUGAUAAGCACUUUAUCAGUUUUGCUGUUGCUGGUCAAAUGCUCUUGUUUCAGCUUCCAAUUGUCCAUUUUAUGGGCUGUCUUCUCUAGGCAAUUCACUUUGACACUUGACCUCAAAUCAGGUAGGACUACCCGCUGAACUUAAGCAUAUCAAUAAGCGGAGGA
rnacentral:misc_RNA from 1 species